rnacentral:rRNA from 1 species
CGAGUGGCGGACGGGUGAGUAAUGUCUGGGAAACUGCCUGAUGGAGGGGGAUAACUACUGGAAACGGUAGCUAAUACCGCAUAACGUCGCAAGACCAAAGAGGGGGACCUUCGGGCCUCUUGCCAUCGGAUGUGCCCAGAUGGGAUUAGCUUGUUGGUGGGGUAACGGCUCACCAAGGCGACGAUCCCUAGCUGGUCUGAGAGGAUGACCAGCCACACUGGAACUGAGACACGGUCCAGACUCCUACGGGAGGCAGCAUG